ACUCAAAGGAAUUGACGGGGGCCCGCACAAGCGGUGGAGCAUGUGGUUUAAUUCGACGCAACGCGCAGAACCUUACCAGCCCUUGACAUGCCGUGCUACUCGCAGAGAUGCGGGGUCCCCGCAAGGGGCGCGGACACAGGUGCUGCAUGGCUGUCGUCAGCUCGUGUCGUGAGAUGUUGGGUUAAGUCCCGCAACGAGCGCAACCCUUGCCUUCAGUUGCCAUCAUUCAGUUGGGCACUCUGGAGGGACUGCCGGCGGUAAGCCGGAGGAAGGUGGGGAUGACGUCAAGUCCUCAUGGCCCUUACGGGCUGGGCUACACACGUGCUACAAUGGUGGCGACAGAGGGCACAAGCGAACGUGUAAACGUAAGCAAAUCCCCAAAAGCCAUCUCAGUUCAGAUUGCGCUCUGCAACUCGGGCGCAUGAAGGUGGAAUCGCUAGUAAUCGCAGAACAGCAGGCUGCGGUGAAUACGUUCCCGGGCCUUGUACACACCGCCCGU
rnacentral:rRNA from 1 species